AAUAGAUACCCUGGUAGUCCAUGCCGUAAACGUUGGGCGCUAGAUGUGGGGACCAUUCCCACGGUUUCCGUGUCGCAGCUAACGCAUUAAGCGCCCCGCCUGGGGAGUACGGCCGCAAGGCUAAAACUCAAAGGAAUUGACGGGGGCCCGCACAAGCGGCGGAGCAUGCGGAUUAAUUCGAUGCAACGCGAAGAACCUUACCAAGGCUUGACAUAUACGAGAACGCUCUAGAAAUAGAGAACUCUUUGGACACUCGUAUACAGGUGGUGCAUGGUUGUCGUCAGCUCGUGUCGUGAGAUGUUGGGUUAAGUCCCGCAACGAGCGCAACCCUCGUUCUAUGUUGCCAGCGCGUUAUGGCGGGAACUCAUAGGAGACUGCCGGGGUCAACUCGGAGGAAGGUGGGGAUGACGUCAAAUCAUCAUGCCCCUUAUGUCUUGGGCUUCACGCAUGCUACAAUGGCCGUACAAAGGGCAGCAAUACCGCAAGGUGGAGCGAAUCCCAAAAAAGCCGGUCUCAGUUCGAA
rnacentral:rRNA from 1 species